rnacentral:rRNA from 1 species
AAGUCAGAUGUGAAAGCCCGGGGCUUAACCUCGGAAUUGCAUUUGAAACUGGCAGGCUAGAGUCUUGUAGAGGGGGUAGAAUUUCAGGUGUAGCGGUGAAAUGCGUAGAGAUCUGAAGGAAUACCAGUGGCGAAGGCGGCCCCCUGGACAAAGACUGACGCUCAGAUGCGAAAGCGUGGGGAGCAAACAGGAUUAGAUACCCUGGUAG